GAUUAAUCGGUAUCGGGGGUUUUUGGUCCCCCAAUAAUCGGUAUCGGUAUCGGUGGUGAUUUUUUUUUAAUCAUAAUCGGUCGACCUCUACUAACUACCCUAUACAGUAAGAUAACAGUCCUAACUACCCUAUACAGUAAGAUAACAGUCCUAACUACCCUAUACAGGUAUUAUAACAGUCCUAACUACCCUAUACAGGUAAUAUAACAGUCCUAACUACCCUAUACAGGUAAGAUAACAGUCCUAACUACCCUAUACAGGUAAGAUAACAGUCCUAACUACCCUAUACAGGUAAGAUAACAGUCCUAACUACCCUAUACAGUAAGAUAACAGUCCUAACUACCCUAUACAGGUAAGAUAACAGUCCUAA
rnacentral:lncRNA from 1 species